GCCUCACUCGUCCCACUGCCUCCCGCUACCACUGACGAAGCGGCACCCUCACUCGUCUCGCCGGCUCCCGCCGCCACUGACGAAUCGGCGGCGUCACUGGUCCCGCCGCCGACCGCUGCCGGCGACAAAGCGGUUACCUCACUCGUCCAUCCGCCGCCCGCCGCCGCGGUCGAAGCGGCGGCGUCGCUCGUUCCCAACGGGAACGAGCUAACCCUAGCUCCGGGG
rnacentral:misc_RNA from 1 species